UACGGAGGAUGCAAGCGUUAUCCGGAAUGAUUGGGCGUAAAGCGUCCGCAGGUGGCAAUGUAAGUCUGCUGUUAAAGAGUCUAGCUCAACUAGAUAAAAGCAGUGGAAACUACAUGGCUAGAGUGCGUUCGGGGCAGAGGGAAUUCCUGGUGUAGCGGUGAAAUGCGUAGAUAUCAGGAAGAACACCGGUGGCGAAAGCGCUCUGCUAGGCCGCAACUGACACUGAGGGACGAAAGCUAGGGGAGCGAAUGGG
rnacentral:rRNA from 1 species